ACAUGACUUUAUGGAUAACUGCUUUCCGUUGUAUUUGACAGGCGCAUCAAUAUUUGUUCUUCAAAAGACGAUUUAAACACCCCAGUCUUUCUUGCGUGCUGCGACUCUGCAGAGUCACACAGUUUAACGCGCAAUACAUGUUCUUAGUUUUUAACUAAGUGGAUCAGCAGAAGAUACUCCAAGAUGACGAGUCUACGGCGGCUGCAGAGUGCGUUUGGUUUCAGUAGAUGGUUUUGGAGGAAGCCCUCUGGUUUCACGCGUGCCGGGGGUACCAGUUUAGAUAAUUGCAUUUCAUAUACACAUUCCAGGAAGAGCUUUUGCACCCAUGAAAAUGACGAUUCUAAACCCAGGACGGCUGGAAUGAGAGGGGCAGACACGGCUGCUAAAAACAGGUUAGGUCCUGCCAGUGAUGAAGACGACCUCAAAACGAACACGAGGGACUUCUUCAGCUAUACUGCCAAGGCUAUCAGACACCCCUCUGUGCUCGCCAAGAGCUACAGCGUGCAAAAACAACAGACUUUCGUAAAGAACAAAAAGUGGUCAACGAAAAUCCCAAAACCUGAACUACGGAACAGGGCCACUGUCGCCAAUGAGCUGCAACGACUGAGAGACGAGGACACGCCAAGCCCCAAGCGGACGGGCUCGCCUAGCGGCAUAGCUUACAGUAAUAUGAAAAACAAGGACUCCGAAAUUGUAUUUGGCGUCUCCCCUUGUUACCUCGCACUGGCCCACGGCCGGAGAGCACUCCACGGGCUGUACGUGAAAGAAAGCCGGGUCCAGCAGCGGCCGGAGGUGCGAGAGAUCUAUCGGCUCGCUGAGAGCCUGGGCGUGACCGUGCAGCAGGCGAGCAGACGGGCACUGGACGGGCUGUGCGGGGGUCGAGUUCAUCAGGGAAUGUGUUUGGAAGCGAGCCCUCUCGGAUACGUGGCCGAUAAUGAGCGCAUUGCUCAGUGCACCCCGGGACAGUCGCUGUGGCUGGUUCUGGAAGGCAUCCAGGAUCCCAUGAACAUGGGUGCGCUUCUGCGCACUGCUUAUUUUUUGGGGGUGGACAGAGUUGUGGCCAGUCUUCACAACAGCUGUCCCUUGUCUCCUGUGGUAAGCAAAGCCAGUGCUGGAGCAAUGGAGGCCCUGCCAGUUUAUGGCUCUGAUGACCUUCCAGAUUUGCUUAAGACCCAGAUUGCCGGUGGCUGGCAGGUGAUUGGAACGGUGGGCUCAGCCACGAAAGCCGUCCACGUUCCGGUCCUCCCAUGCUCUGAGUUUCACUGGAGCCAGCCCACCAUCCUCGCUCUCGGAAGCGAGGGGUCUGGCCUGUCUGCGGAGGUGCUUGCUCUGUGUGGCUGUCUGCUGACCAUUCCUCCCGGGGGAGAGCCCACUCUGGGGAUGGACUCCUUGAACGUGUCUGUGGCUGCAGGUGAGGAAACCCAAGAAUAGAGCUAAUCGGGGUCUGUGAAACCAACCACAUGCAGUGAUCCAAACAGAUUCCUUCUGCUUUCAGGCGUAGUUGUGCUGGUGCUUCAUGAAAGCCAGAGAUACUGUUAGACCAUUUCAAUUCACUGUCAUAGCUGGGGAAAGAGUGUUUCACUAAAAUAUAAAUGAAUGCGAUAAACAAAGCAGAUGUGGACAAUUUUUUUUUUUUAUUCAUUGAUUUGAUGAUAUCUUAAUCAACUCAAAUAAAAUACAUUUCCUCAUUCUUGUUUUAAUGCAUGAAUUUACAUAUCCAGAAUAAUGCUCCCCCCCCGUCAACGGGUUAAAAGGCUUUGGGGGAUAUCUGAUAAAACAAUAUAAUAUAUUUCACAAUGAGUGAUUAAUGUGAUCAGUUUGGUUCAGUGCAAAGGAAAAUACAUUCUUGUAUCUCUGCUUAUAAGAUGACCUAUUUCCACUGGCCCUGAGACUGGAAGUGUGUAUCUCACACAGAGACACAGCAGCGGCACUGCAUUCCUCAAUAUUGAUUGCAAUCCAAUACACUGAAUGGAACAGUGACUGGGGGAACUUUAAUACCCGUGGCGUGAACUGCAUACAAAUAGAAACUACUGAGCGAGGCUGGAGAAGCAGAAAAACCGUGCUGUAUAACACAUGUGAGAAACGCUGGGACUAUCCCCUGUCAAUCUGCAGCAGGCUGAGGCCAGUAAUCUCGCUCAACAUAACAGAGCUGGAACAAAUGCAUGGGUUCGCUGAUUGCAGUGAGCCCCAGACAGCAGGAGAGUCCCCUGACUAUAGCAGAGAGUCCUGUUUUCAAUGCAAAUGACAAGCCACCACCCAGCCCUUUUAAUAGAGACCGUGCAUUUAUAUUGGCUCAUCACUGAUCCCCUACACACUUAGCGAUUCUUGUGCCAUGUUGCUCUGCUCCGCGCCUUCAACCUUUCCCUGGUCCUCAUCCCACACUUCAUAAGCAGGUAGCGGCUUAUAAUAAUGACGUUUGGCAGCCUGCAGAUCAAGCAGGGAAUCGUGGCUUGUGAAUGCAAACUGCAGGGCCGCCAGUCAGUGUACAGUUCUUGCUGCACCAAGGUGUGUUUGUUUUGUUUUUUUUAAUAACGUAAUAAACUUUCUAUUGCUUUAGUCGUGAGGUUCUCUUUAACCCCUGUGAUUGUUUAUUUUAAGGUAAAAGCUCAUUGGGUGGAUAUUGAUGUGCAGCUGUUCUGUUGCAGUGACGUGAUUAUAUUUGGAAGGUUCCUGACACCCUUUUAGCAACCUGAAUAAUUCCUCAUUAAAUUGUGCACUCGACACAGAACCCUAAUGCUAACAGAAAAACACUCCGACCGCAAUUGCAAACGUAAAGUAAAGCUGAAACACUGGGCUUCAGGUCUUCUGUCCUUUCUAGAUGAGGAGUCAUCGACGGUGCUGGAUCCCAUGCAAUAAAGACAUUUAUAGGAAAAACAUUUGUAUUCUGUUGCACUCUCUUGUGUCCUGUAAGAGAAUGAAACUCUGAUGCCUUCCCGGUUUUGUGUUUGCUUUGGACCUGAUCCCUGCGUACAGUACUUAAGCACUGGAUUACUCCAUCAAUUAGCAGCCGGCCCGUUGAAAACCUGCAUUGAUUGACUAUGCUAAUUCGCACGGCCCUGUGUUGUGGGCGCUGUGGGGAGCAGGCUCCCUUUCCUGCAGCAUGUGAAGACUGUUCAGACGGCGCUGAAGCGUGGCGUGCCUUCGCCAGCGAUACAAGAGCAAACCGGUUUCCAGGGAAACCACAGCAUUGCCCUGGCAGGGGAUGGGCCCUCAACUCAAACUGCAUUUAUAAUAUCCUUUAAUAGAAUUGCUUUAAUCAGCCAUGCGUAUGAGUAAUCAUUUAGCCUAAUGUGAAAUAAAAACUUAUAUAUAUAAAAAAAA